GCUACGGGAGGCUGCAGUGGGGGAUAUUGGACAAUGGGGGAAACCCUGAUCCAGCGACGCCGCGUGAGUGAAGAAGUAUUUCGGUAUGUAAAGCUCUAUCAGCAGGGAAGAAAGAAAUGACGGUACCUGAGUAAGAAGCCCCGGCUAACUACGUGCCAGCAGCCGCGGUAAUACGUAGGGGGCAAGCGUUAUCCGGAAAUACUGGGUGUAAAGGGAGCGUAGACGGUACUGCAAGACUGGAGUGAAAGGCGGGGGCUCAACCCCCGGACUGCUCUGGAAACUGUGUAACUGGAGUGCAGGAGCGGCAGGCGGAAUUCUUAGUGUAGCAGUGAAAUGCGUAGAUAUUAGGAGGAACACCAGUGGCGAAGGCGGGCUGCUGGACUGUAACUGACGUUGAGGCUCGAAAGCGUGGGGAGCAAACAGGAUUAGAUACCCUUGUAGUC
rnacentral:rRNA from 1 species